AUGGCCGCCUUCCGCCUCCUCUUCCUCGUCCUUUCCUGCAUCGCCGCUGGCUGCAACAGUGUUGUCGCUGUCGCGGUCGACGACCAGCCGCUGCCGCAGCAGGAGUUCUGCAUGGCGUCGUCUUCUUCUUCGUGCCCGGAAGCUGCCGUCGACGCUGAGCCGCUCAAGGAGGAGACCAGCGUGAUGUACAAGGAGAAGGCCAGCUCGUUCUUCAGACAUGAUGGUCGCACCAUCAAGGUCGACUUCGUACUCCCCGCCAGCAACAGCAUAGCCGCCGCUGGGGACGAGGACCUGCAGCUGCGGCAGGAAGCCAUGGCGCAGGCCAUUACGGUCCUCUCCCGCUACAGCCCAGAGACCACCGACCAACAGACGCUCAAGCGGGCGAUGGGGGUGGUGAACCUCGAGGCUCAGCGGUGGAAGCCCAUCUUCAGGGCCGUCAACAGGGUGCUGGAGAGCGGCGCCGACGACCGCACCAAGGAGGAGGCGUUCGCCCAGGCCAGGGUGCAGCUCAACCGCGACCUCGGCCAAGAAGGUCCCAACGCCCUCAAGCUCGACUUCCGCUUUCUGUGA
rnacentral:rRNA from 1 species